rnacentral:lncRNA from 1 species
UCUCAAUAUCAUGUAGGUAGGAUGCGUGCCAUAUUUCAUCAGAAUAGGAGUUUGUUUGAUACGCAAACCAAUAAACCUAUAGUGGCACUAUAGCCAAUCAAAUCAUAGUAGUUUUCGAUUUUAAAACCCUAUCACGGGCUGCCAUUUUCCCUCUCUUUUCAAGCCCAUGGACAUCUAUCACAACCACCUAGCCCACUAACCCUAGUCUUUGUCGGAGCAUCCAAUCAUGACUGGAGGGUUGAAAACGCCCUAAAGCUCCUCAAACCCUAGCUCAUGCUAUAUAAGGUAGCUCCACCCGUGCCUAAUGUGGAAUAAUUCUCUCCUCAUCUUGUUUUCUGCUCAACCCACAACCCCACCGCCAAGUGGCACCAC